UGCGGGUCUCUGAAGGUCCCACCACAGCAUCUCAGUCAGGACAAGGUCUGGACUGGAUCAUGUCAACACCCUGACUCUGUUCUUUUUCAUCAGUU